AUGGAGCCAGCCGCCGAAGGUGGGGCAGAUGAUUGGGGUGAAGUCGUAACAAGGUAGCCGUAUCGGAAGGUGCGGCUGGAUCACCUCCUUUCUAAGGAUAUAUGGAGCAGCGUACGUUUUCGUCUUGUUUAGUUUUGAAGGAUCAUUCCUUCAAAACAUGUCUCUAGCGAGACAGGAUUGUUCUUUGAAAACUAGAUAACAAUAAGUAAUACAUUCACAUUGAAUGCAAUGCAAAGUUCAUCACACAUAGUGAUUCUUUCUAAAGUAAGAAAUGGUUAAGUUAGAAAGGGCGCACGGUGGAUGCCUUGGCACUAGGAGC
rnacentral:misc_RNA from 1 species